UCUAUAAAGGCCCACACAGUGUCUUAUGGUGUCUUAGUACAUUUGGGCUGCUGUACAGUAACAGAAUACUAUAAAUUAGGUAGCUUCUAAAAAACAGAAACUUUUUUCUCAUGGUUCUGGAGACUGGGAAGUCUAAGAUCAAGGCAUCAGCAGAUUCAGUGUUUGAGGGGAGGACCUGCCUCCAGUUCAGAGACAGCCAUCCUUUCUCUGUAUCUUCACAUGGCAGAAAGGAUAAGUAAGCUCUCUGGGACCUCUGUUUUAGGGGCACUAAUCCCAUUUACGAGGGCCCCACCUUCAUUAUCUAAUCACCUCCCAAGAGCCCCAUCUCCUAAAACCAUUACAUUUGGGGGUUAGGUUUUGACCUAUGAAUUUUGAGGAGACACAUUCAGUUGAUGUCAGAGGGAGAUACUUGGUCUUCAGAUACUUAGAUUUUUAACUCUGAAUUCUUGGGUAGCUUUUAGAGAUAAGGACUGAUUUAGACUAGAGUCGUUGGGCCCAGCGCAACUUGAAGUAGCGGAGAGAGAGCGGGACUAGAGCGCAGAGCUCGGGACGUGCAUCCCAGCUGGCGUGAUGGGCGGAGAGCAGGAGGAGGAGCAGUUCGAGGGCAUGUUGCUGGCCAUGGCUCAGCAGCAUGAGGGCGGCGUGCAGGAGCUUGUGAACACCUUCUUCAGCUUCCUUCGACGCAAAACAGACUUUUUCAUUGGAGGAGAAGAGGGGAUGGCAGAGAAGCUUAUCAUACAGAUUUUCAGCAACAACAAUCAGCUGGCACAGAAGGCCCAGUGGGAGAAGAGAGCCCGGCAGGAGGCUGAGCGGCGGGAGAAGGUGGAGCGGGUGGCCAGGGUGGCCAAGGAAGCCAAGUCAGAGGCCUCAGGGCCCCAGAUCAAGGAGCUAACUGAUGAAGAGGCAGAGAAGCUGCAGCUAGAGACUGACCAGAAAAAGGAUACAGAGAAUCAUGAGGCCCAGCUCAAGAACGGCAACCUUAACUCCCAGGGAAGCAGGAGACUGAGAAAAAUGAAGAGGAGGAAGAUGAGAAGGACAAAGGAAAACUGAAGCCCAACCUAGGCAACGGGGCAGACCUGCCCAAUUACCGCUGGACCCAGACCCUGUCGGAGCUGGACCUGGCGGUCCCUUUCCACGUGAACUUCUGGGUGAAAGGGAAGGGCGUGGUGGUGGACAUCCAGUGGUGGCACCUCCGGGUAGGGCUCAAGGGGCAGCCAGUGAUCAUCGAUGGGGAGCUCCACAACGAAGUGAAGGUGGAGGAGAGCUCAUGGCUCAUUGAAGACGGCAAGGUGGUGACUCUGCAUCUUGAGAAUAUCAAUAAGAUGGAGUGGUGGAGCCGCUUGGCAUCCAGUGACCUUGAGAUCAAUACCAAGAAUAUUAACCCUGAGAAUUCCAAGCUCUCAGACCUGGACAGUGAGACUCAUAGCAUGGUGGAAAGGAUGAUGAUGUAUGACCAGAGACAGAAGUCCAUGGGGUUGUCAACCUCAGACGAACAGAAGAAACAGGAGAUUCUGAAGAAGUUCAUGGAUCAGCAUCUGGAGAUGGAUUUUUCCAAGGCCAAAUUCAACUGGCCCCUGUUUUUACCUCCUUGAACUCUUGGGGCUGAGCUGCAACCAUCCAACUUUUUUUCCCACUCUUCUCUGGCCCUUGUGGGCCUCAGGGAUUGGGGCAGGCAUGGGACUGGCCCAGCACACAGGUCCCAGGGCAUCAGGAGAAAGGCUGGGGUUUGGGGUCUUGUCUUCCCCAGUUGGCCUACUGUUACACAUUAAAGCGAUUUGCUUAGCAAAAAAAGAAAUAAGGACUGAUUUAUUUCCUCAUUUGUGAUGCCAAAUUGUAAAGAUUAAGGUAAUCGUUCUGUUAAGGUAUGAAAAUACGCCACUUCUAAGAGACAGAGGCAGAUAGGAUAUUGGCAACCUUCACACCCUAGUUUGAAAGGUACUGGCCUUUCUUGGCUGUGCUGAGGCAUGAAUAAAUACCUCACUAUUGUGGUUACAAUAGUAACCAUACCUUUGUUGUGUUUUAUUUCUUCAACUACCAUCUGUUGUUGCAGCUUUUAGCUAAAGAACGGUUUUGCAAACUUCCACCUUAAGUCAUAGCACUGUGUCUUGGUGAAUUGAUUAUAGAGGUGGAAGUUAGUAUCUUAAAUUUGAUUCAGUCAUAUAUGCCUUUUGGGUGACUUCACUUUGGAUCCUCAAAGGAUGACUUAGAGAAUGCCAAAUAAACACCCUGGCAACUGGUAAUGACCUUCUGGGAGAUUCUGACAGAUUGAGGUUUCAC